rnacentral:rRNA from 1 species
CAAUAGCGUAUAUUUAAGUUGUUGCAGUUAAAAAGCUCGUAGUUGGAUUUCGGUUAAGAGCGACCGGUCCGCCGUUUGGUGUGCACUGGUUGGUUUUAACUUCCUGUAGAGGACGUGCUCUGGGUUUAACGACCUGGACUCGGAGUCUACGUGGUUACUUUGAAAAAAUUAGAGUGUUCAAAGCGGGCUUACGCUUGAAUAUUUCAGCAUGGAAUAACACUAUAGGACUCCUGUCCUAUUUCGUCGGUCUCGGGACGGGAGUAAUGAUUAAGAGGAACAGUUGGGGGCAUUCGUAUUUCAUUGUCAGAGGUGAAAUUCUUGGAUUUAUGAAAGACGAACUUCUGCGAAAGCAUUUGCCAAGGAUGUUUUCAUUA